rnacentral:rRNA from 1 species
UACGAAGGGGGCUAGCGUUGCUCGGAAUUACUGGGCGUAAAGGGCGCGUAGGCGGGUUCGUUUAGUUAGAGGUGAAAGCCCAGGGCUCAACCCCUGGAAUUGCCUUUAAUACUGGCGGCCUUGAGUAUGGCAGAGGUGUGUGGAACUCCGAGUGUAGAGGUGAAAUUCGUAGAUAUUCGGAAGAAACACCAGUGGCGAAGGGCGACACACUGGGCCAUUACU